UACGGAGGGGACUAGCGUUGUUCGGAAUUACUGGGCGUAAAGCGCACGUAGGCGGAUUUGUAAGUCAGGGGUGAAAUCCCGGGGCUCAACCUCGGAACUGCCUUUGAUACUGCAAAUCUCGAGUCCGGAAGAGGUGAGUGGAAUUCCGUAGUGUAGAGGUGAAAUUCGUAGAUAUUAGGAAGAACACCAGUGGCGAAGGCGGCUCACUGGUCCGGUACUGACGCUGAGGUGCGAAAGCGUGGGGAGCAAACAGG
rnacentral:rRNA from 1 species